CAACUUCCGUCAGUACAAGGCAGGAUUAGCCGGGAGACUUCUUCUAAACGAGGGCGCACUUCCAACUUUGUGUGGAAUACCUGCAUACGAUGGACAUGUAAAUAGUUCUAUAUUAUAUAUUUUGUAGUUUA